UCAAAUUUCCAUGAAAUUUGAAAUUCCAUCCCAAAAUUUUUCAAUUUCUCCUCUUUACAAAACUCCCGCUGCUUUCCAAAGACCUAGUUCAUUUUUCCGAUACGAUCUCUCUUCCAGAAUUCAUAAUCGGUUUCUUCUCUAAAACCAAUAUGAUUGUGCUUAGCCGCAAUCGACCUCCAAUCAACCGUUUCAUGUCAUUCGACCUCAGCAAUCAACCCAUCGGUGCUUAGCCGCAAUCGACCUCCAAUCAACCGUUUCAUGUCAUUCGACCUCAGCAAUCAACCCAUCGAUUUGAUUCUACUACAAAAAAUCAACCAUGUUCCAGGCGACCUCUUUGUUUGAAGUUGCACACCAAAUGCUCGAUGAAAUGCUUCACCCAGACUGUGAAGAUUUAGUAAAACGGAGAUAUCUUCUAAAACUCAAUUUGAAUUUUACAGCUCUGUUGAGAAAUUAUUGUGAUUUUAGGGUUCGGAAUCAAAGAAAAAUAAUUUUUAAAUAGGCUAAUUUCUGUUAAAACAUUUCUUUUAGGCUAUAGGGUGUGGUUGGAGCCCCAUGGGCUUUAUCAAGUCCACCUAAGCUCCACCUAGGAUCCAACUCAGCUAUGGAGCCCCCUUUAAUUUGCAUAGUGUGGAUGGAGCCCCAUAUUAAAGAAAAAAAAAGAUUACAUUGGUGCAAAACAAGUGGGUCCCACUUAUAGAGCCCCUUCCAGCCCGUUACCAUGGUAGCGAGCAUUGUAUAGCGCCGGGGGUGUGGAAGAUGGCCGGGGUGGGGCGCUAUAGUGUGCCAGCUGGGUUGGGUGGCGCCCCCACAGCCUCCAGCCUUAGUGUCGGUUGACAAAAUUCAUCAUGUUGUUUAAGGAGAUGGCCAUGUUGGAGGCACGACAUUAACUUGUUAAAGAACACCAUGUUGCAUUUCUCAAGGAUGAAGUGGAAGAAUGGAAAGCCACGAAAGGUAGUAAGGUUCUUUUUGAGACAACUAUUGUCUAAUGGUUUACAACAACCUCAUGUUCACAUAGGUUUGGGAAUUAAAUUUUAUCACAAAAUUGAGUCCUUUUUAUUGAUUGUGAUUUUAUAUUUUCAUUCCAACUAUUCAGCAUUCCUUAUCUUUUUAAUUCACAUUAGCAUCUUAUAAUUAGGUUUGAAAUUCACUGUUGAGUAUUUUUAAAUUUGCUUCCGAGAGACUGGAUAUUCUUCACAGAACCACCUUGAGCUAGGAGAGUUUUGGUGUGCUGUUAGUGGCUCGAGUGACGUGACUGAAACACAAUAAGAAAUUUCAAGACAAAGCAAUGUACACUAUGAAGGGAAGAAUAUUAAUGUUCAUGAUUUCAAAGUUUCUGGAUUUUUACAACCACAAUUGCAAGUGCUGGAGCUAAUGGAUCUGAUGUACAACUCUAACGAUAGCGACGGCCGGAUCUAGGAUGUUAGUUAAGACUAAUUCUUAUUAUUUAAUAUAUCUAAUAUUGUUUUACGAUUUAGAAUUAAUUAACUAAGUAUUGUUCAUUCAUAUGUUUGGAUCGGUUAUUGUUUUUGAUGCUUAUAAUUGAGUAUGCUAUUGCUAGUCGAAUACA